rnacentral:misc_RNA from 1 species
GAAAUACAGAGAAGGCGACGAGCACAAUGGGGAAAGAUCUGAGCAACGAUCAAAUCUCCUCCAUGAAGGAGGCAUUCACUCUCUUCGAUACCGACGGCGACGGCAAAAUCUCACCGUCGGAGCUAGGUAUCCUAAUGCGUUCACUCGGAGGUAACCCGACUCAAGCUCAACUCAAAUCAAUAAUCGCCGAGGAAAAACUCACAUCGCCGUUCGAUUUCAACCGGUUUAUGGAACUCAUGUCGAAACACUUGAAGCCGGAGCCAUUUGAUCGCCAAUUACGCGAUGCGUUCAAGGUACUUGAUAAAGACGGUACUGGUUACGUUGUUGUUUCGGAUCUAAAGCAUAUUUUAACUAGUAUUGGUGAGAAGCUUGAGCCUUCGGAAUUUGAUGAGUGGAUCCGAGAAGUUGAUGCUGGAUCCGAUGGUAAGAUCCGGUAUGAAGAUUUCAUUGCUAGGAUGGUUGCCAAGUGAUUUUUGCAUGAAAUUCGCAUCUUCGGCUAUAUUACUCAAUAGCAAGAAACAGGACCUAACUUUGCCCUCGCUAGUUUUGCCCUCUCAUUUGUAUGUUUAAGUGUAUCUUUCAUUAGCCAUUUUGCUAAUCGUCUAUUUUAUUGUAUUUUCCCCUUGCACUGUCAUGGAACAACUCAUUGUUCAAAUGUUUGGAUUAUAUCCAGGUAUGUGGUAUGCAAUCGCUUCUUGCAAUGUUAAACCAGUUAUGUAUAGUUCAAAUGCCAUGUAUCUUUAACUCAGCGCUUCAAUGUUUCUACUUCUUGUAGUGGAAUAUCUUUGUUCAUUUAUUAAACCAAAACUUCAGCAGUGAUGAUUUUGUGUGUAUUGAUGGAGUAAUCUACUUGUAACAUAAUCAAAAUAGCAGUAAAUGUAUGCUUUGAUAGUAUUAUUUCCGCUAGUGUAUGCUAAUGGGUUGUUU